rnacentral:lncRNA from 1 species
UUCCCUCUUCCUUGCUUGCCCCCCCCCUCUAUCCCUCUCCUCCCAAGUGUUUGCAACCACACCACCUAACCCUAGCCGCCCCCCAUCUCCUCCUCUCCAAGGUGCCAUUCCUUGCCGCUUGGAUCUACGUCGCGUGGUGCAAGUCCCGAAUUGGUUUUGGUGGAGGGAAGAAGGGAGGAAGAAAAGGGAGAGAAUUCAAGGUGAUUUUUGUGAUUAUCUCUUGUUUAUUUGUGCUGCAAUUCCAUUGAAUAGAUGUUACGUAUGCGAAUUGGUAGAGGUGCUGUCCAGAAAUUUAGUGGGUGGGCGAACAGCAGUAGUUCUAGUGAUUUCUGGGAAUUUUUCGUGGUAAUUAGUGGAGAUCAGUGGGAGAAUCAUGUAGAGAUUUGUCAUACCUUUCCAACGAGUACUUAUGCACUCGAUUCGUAGUUAUAUUUUAGUAGAUAUCGCUGUUUGAAUCCGGGUAUGUUGCUGUCCAAAAAACAGAUUUGCAGGUGGGCGAACAGCAGUAGUAUUGACAGUUUCUGGGGAUUUUUCGUGGGUAAUUGGUGAUAAUCAGUAUGAUAAUCAUGUAGAGCUUUGUCAUACCUUUCCAACGAGUACUUAUGCACUCGAUUCGGAGUUAUAUUUUAGUAGAUAUCGCUGUUUGAAUCCGGGUAUGUUGCUGUCCAAAAAAACAGAUUUGCAGGUGGGCGAACAGCAGUAUUAUUGACAGUUUCUGGGGAUUUUUCGUGGGUAAUUGGUGAUAAUCAGUAUGAUAAUCAUGUAGGGCUUUUUCAUACCUUUCCAACGAGUACUUAUGCACUCGAUUCGGAGUUAUAUUUUAGUAGAUAUCGCUGUUUGAAUUCGGGUAUGUUGCUGUCCAAAAAAAACAGAUUUGCAGGUGGGCGAACAGCAGUAGUAUUGAUAGUUUCUGGGGAUUUUUCGUGGAUAAUUGGUGAUAAUCAGUAUGAUAAUCAUGUAGAGAUUUUUCAUACCUUUCCAACGAGUACUUAUGCGCUCGAUUCGGAGUUAUAUUUUGGUAGAUAUCGCUGUUUGAAUCCGGGUAGGUUGCGGUCCAAAAACAGAUUGCAGGGUUUACCUUGUGGACUGUAUUGGGCUAAUUAGAUAUUGGAAUUUGAUUAUAAAUUGUAUACAAAACUGGUGGGGAAUUUUAUGUAGAUGCUUCCGGAGUUUUUGAUUGAUAUCACUGCUGAGUUUUUGAUUGAUAUCACUGCUGUUACAAUUUUAAAGUUAUGAAAUUAUCAAGCAGCGCCGCUGCAAUUUGGUGGUGAUGGGGAGAGUUGUCGCUCGCGACGGGUUGGAAUUGUGCGUAGGUGCGGCAUGGUUUAUUAGCGUUUGUUAUGUGAAUUUGUGCACUAAGGUGUGUGUCAAAAAUAGGUGGUGGACUUUCGGAUCGUACUUAGUACCAUUUCAAAUUCCUGGUGAAGGCAAGUAAAUACAGUGGUUGCUGCUACCGUUUGGUUUGCAUCCUAUUCCCUGUCAUUGAGUAUGCAUAAGUUUUAAAUAUGUUAAUCAUUGAAUUCUAUGAUGAAGUUUAUUUGUUCUAAAGUAUUAAUUCUCAAUUGUCUAAUAUUGUGGAUGAUCAUGAUUUGGUAAUGAUAUAUGUGGUUGAUUCUCAUCUUGGAUGAAGUUGAAGUAUCUUUUUGAAUCACGUUAUAUGAAGUGUUGUAGGCAUAUCAUGCACAUCGCAUCAUCCAUCUUGCAUUCUGAAGUUAUGUCGUGAUCUUAUGGUCCGACCGUACCGGUACAUUUUUAGCAUCGUACGUUGCCCGAGGAGGGGUACGAUGAGGCUUCAUAUCCUUAGAGGUAUGAAGGCAGAAGUCAUCCUUGCAUUUGCAGACAUUUGCACUCAUGAGGUAUAUAUGAAGUGUGACAUUACUAUGUUACUAUUGUGGUUUCUACCUGCGAUAUGUGGUAACUAGGAGUGUUGUACGUUGUAUACGUGUUGCACCUUCGUAAUAAGAAGGUUGUGAAAUCAAGUCGUGGUAAAACAAUGUUCUUAUGUGGUUAAACAGUUUGAUAUUAUUUUACUUGUUGAGAUGUGUCAUCUCACUCUUGCAUUACUCAAUGCAGGUACUUGAUACAUGUUGGGAAUGAGGGGAGUAGCAGCACGUCCACUUUCACUCUCAUAAUAACGCUGCCCAGGCGGAGCCAUGAUUUAAUUAGAAACUUGUUGUCAAAGGAAGUUUUUUUAGCUAGUCGUGCGCACUGGUUAAUUCAGUUCAUGUCGUAUGUUUAACUUCCCUUUGCUAGCCGAUUAAUAAUACUUAGUAUGUUUUUGUCAUGAUAUAUGUUUAUACACUGUUGCCCCCCCUCAUUUAUGCCAUUUUGCAAAGGAGAUGCUGCCAAAAUUUUAUAUAGAUGUCAGAAGUGUAGUUCAGUAGCAUUCCAGGGUG